UACAGAGGGAGCAAGCGUUGUUCGGAUUUACUGGGCGUAAAGGGCGCGUAGGCGGUCGUGACAAGUCACUUGUGAAAUCUCCGGGCUUAACUCGGAACGGUCAAGUGAUACUGUCGGACUAGAGUACAGAAGGGGCAACUGGAAUUCUCGGUGUAGCGGUGAAAUGCGUAGAUAUCGAGAGGAACACCUGCGGCGAAGGCGGGUUGCUGGGCUGAUACUGACGCUGAGGCGCGAAAGCCAGGGGAGCGAACGGGG
rnacentral:rRNA from 1 species